rnacentral:rRNA from 1 species
UUGAAAGGGAAACGAUUGAAGUCAGUCAUGCUGGUGGGAAUCAACUUAGGGGAAACUCUGGGUGCACUUCUUCGCUUGGCAGGUCAACGUCGAUUUUGAAUGUCAUAAAAUAAUUGGGGAAGGUAGCUCCUUCGGGAGUGUUAUAGCCCUUGAUAGAUGUGAUGUUUGAGGUCGAGGAUUGCAGCGGAUACCCUUUGGGGCUAGCUGCCUGAUCUCUAAUUGGUGUUGGGUUACGGAUAGCAUGCUGACUGUGAUCUGAUUUUCGGUUAAAAGAUUAGAGCGAGUGUAAAUUCGUUAAGGAUGUUGACGUA